GUGCCAGCAGCCGCGGUAAUUCCAGCUCCAAUAGCGUAUACUAAAGUUGUUGCGAUUAAAAAGCUCGUAGUUGGAUCUCAGGCAUGGGCGCACGGUCCGCCUCGCGGCGGUCACUGUGUGUUUUGUUUCCCAUCCUACGCUUCCCGGUUGUUCAGCCCAUGGUGCUCUUCAUUGAGCGUUUUGGGUGGCCGGAACGUUUACUUUGAAGAAAUUAGAGUGUUCAAAGCAGGCACGUUGCCUGAAUAAUGGUGCAUGGAAUAAUGGAAUAGGACCUCGGUUCUAUUUUGCUGGUUUUCGGAACACGAGGUAAUGAUUAAGAGGGACAGACGGGGGCAUCCGUAUUGCGGUGUUAGAGGUGAAUUCUUGGAUCAUCGCAAGACGAACAACUGCGAAAGCAUUUUG
rnacentral:rRNA from 1 species